AACAUCCUAGUCCAGCAGCUCACACAGCCGUUUGCAGAAAAACCCACCGAAAACAUGAGUCCUUAAAUCUGCGUAUUUAUAAGACUAUUUGCUAUAAUUAUUAUUAAUUUUAAACAACCAUAUGCGACUACCAGUGACACGUUGUUAACCCGCCUGUCUUAAAUCGACUUUACUAACAGCUGAACUCAGGCCAACAUCCAACCAAACGGUCCACGCUUCACGUGCUCCUUAGUGCUCAACUGUCAUAGUUAAUUAUUGCUUAUUACAAUCAGUGUCGGCGGACUUAAGAAGCUACUUUAACUUGGGGCCGUAUAUUCGGUUAAUUUCAACUUCCGUGCACCGACGAGGAGCUGAAGAUGAAUCCGAGCGGAGCAGCCCGCAGCGGGAAGACCUUCCUGUUCACGUCCGAGUCCGUGGGAGAGGGACACUCCGAUAAAAUGUGUGACCAGAUCAGCGAUGCUGUGCUGGAUGCAUACCUGAGUCAAGACCCCGACUCUAAAGUGGCUUGUGAAUGCGUGGCGAAGACGGGCAUGAUUUUACUGGUUGGAGAAGUGACGUCUAAGGCCAUCGUGGAUCUCCAGUCGGUGGUCCGAAAUACUGUGAAGAAGAUUGGCUACGAUGACUCGUCAAAAGGCUUUGACUAUAAGACUUGCAAUGUGCUGGUGGCGCUGGAGCCGCAGGCUGUGGAGAUAUCGGACUGUGUGUUUGAAGGAAGGGAUCAGGAGGACAUCGGUGCAGGGGACCAGGGUUUGAUGUUCGGCUACGCCACGGACGAGACGGAUGAGUGCAUGCCCUUAACCAUCAUUCUGGCUCACAAGCUGAACUACAGGAUGAAGGAGCUCUCACUGAACGGAGAGUGUCCUUGGAUACGACCGGACUCCAAAUCACAGGUCACGGUGGAGUAUAGAGACAACAUGGGAGCCAUGGAGCCACUGCGCGUCCACACAGUGGUCAUCUCAGUACAACACAGCCCGGACAUCAGCCUGGAUGAAAUCCGACGCAAUCUGAUAGAGAAGGUGGUGAAGCUCGUCAUUCCCGCCAAGUACUUGGAUGACAGGACCAUAUACCAUCUACUGCCAAGCGGGAAAUUCCUUACGGGCGGCCCGCAGAGUGAUGCAGGUCUCACAGGGCGUAAAAUCAUAGUGGACACUUACGGAGGAUGGGGUGGUCACGGAGGAGGGGCUUUCUCCGGAAAAGACUACUCCAAAGUGGAUCGGUCCGGAGCUUAUGCGGCACGCUGGGUCGCCAAGUCUUUGGUCAAAGCUGGACUGUGCAGGAGAGCCCUCGUUCAGAUCUCCUAUGCCAUCGGGGUGAGCCACCCACUCUCCAUCUCCGUGUUUCACUACGGCUCGUCGAACAGGGACGAAGACGAGCUGCUGCAAAUAGUACAGAAGAACUUUGACCUGAGGCCCGGGGUCAUUGUGAAAGAGCUGGGUUUGAAGCGGCCAAUCUACCAGGCCACCGCCUGCUAUGGUCACUUUGGCAGAGAGGAGUUCCCCUGGGAAAAACCCAAGUCUCUGGUGUUUUGAGUCCCAGUCACAUUCCAGUCAUGUCCUCAUAACCCAUCACGAAACAAUCAAGAGUCACAGAAUCCAUAUAUCUAAAUACUACAGAUAUGUUGCUUCUCUGACCUCAAACUGUAGGGCAGUGGUCAGUGCCUCUGUGAGAAAGGAAUUGUUUUUUUAAUCAUGAUUGAGCUACUUUCCUGUAUGAGAAACUGUAGUUAUUGU